CGCUGGCUGGGCGGCGAGGGCGGACCCAGUUCCUGGAAUCUACCCAGUGCAGCCCAGGGGCCAGGGGACUGUAGUGUAGGGGCUGAAGUGUGUGUGUGUGUGUCGUUUGUGCAAAACCGGCGGCGGUGAUCGCCUCGUAAAAGGGGGAACGUCCCUGGGUGGGCUCGAACCACCAACCUUUCGGUUAACAGCCGAACGCGCUAACCGAUUGCGCCACAGAGACUCCGGUAGCACCAAGACUCUCAGCCGCGGCCUUUAUGACGAAUACUGAGGCGGGGAGCGCGGCUUUCCCGGGGCUUCCGGAUCCCUCUCGGAUCGGCGGCCGCGUCUCCGGCCUUCUGGGUUCCGCUCCGCUCACGCGAGCGUGCGGGACAGUUCUGCCGGACCGAGGAGGCUGCACACCGCCGCGCCCUAAGACAGUCGAGCGCGACCGAGAGCACAGGCACAACCCCGGCGCGCUGGCGCUGCGCUAACGCAGAGGCCGACCGCUCGUCCCGGCGACCUUGUGUCAGCGGAGAGGGACGCCCGGAAAAGCUACGGUAACUCCGUGCGCCCGGCACGCUGCGAUCGGCGCCCACACCGCGUGCGAGCCGAGCCGCGUACACCUCGCGGGACAUGCAUUACCCAGUUUGAGGACAGAGAAUUAAAGGGAAAAAGCUAGGACAGAUGACUGUCCUCCGUCAGCUUUCGGCGAGGACGCAGGGCUGUGCGCCCCGGAGGAACGUCCUUCCUCUCUCUGAAUCCUUCUGGACACCUUCGAAGGUGCUCUUCAAAAUCCCGCCCCGCCUUUCCUUUUCCUUCUCUCUCCUCAAAGGACUGCCAGUCUCCGCCGGAGAACGCGAUAUGUAAGUUUUUUCUACGUCUCGAGAUUGCUCUCUCCAGAAUCCUUCCAAAAAAAAAAAAAUUCAGACAUCUGAGACCCCCGUGCGUGGUGACAACUUAAAUUUGCUUUGGAACCGGAGACCAACCGUUUCUCCAAAGCAUUGAAAUGUUAAACAGCUGGGAAUUCAUACCAAAGCCUUUCAACGGGCUUUCAGAGGAGCGCUUGAAAAUCACUCUGGGAAUCUUACACAGAGGUCUGGUUUCAUUAGAUCAUGCUACCUUUGGACUUUAUACCGUAUAUAUUUAUUUAUAUUUUAUAUAACAAAACCGUCAGGCACGGCCUUUUCUAGUUCAAACACCCAAAUGAGCGUCCUGCCCGCUGCUAUUGUUCCUGUGCCUGUUCAGCUGGGACCGGCCGCAACUGAUGUUCCUCGAUGCCCCUUCAUUAAAUAUUUAUCUUCCUGCUUAAAAUAACAGGCACAGUUCUGUUCAGGGCGGUAUCUUUAGCUCCCAUCUCUUUCCCUCGCUUGAACAGCAUACGGACAUUUUAACCUCCCAAAAGAGAGAUGAGGAGAAGCAAUUGAUGAAAGAAAAACUACUUCAGAAAGGAAGAUUAACUCCUUGUACAGCAGAAAUUUGUUAAUAUUGACUACUGCUAUUUGUUUAAAAACUGUCUUCAAGCCUGGUUCUGGAGCUUUUAACGUUUUAAAUAAAAUAAAUGGCCAUUUCUACUGUCCACUGUUCAUUAGCUUGGCCUUUUUGUGUCUCUCCACUGGAACACAGUUGAAGAGAACAUACAAAUAUUUAAAAAUACUAACUGGAAUCUGAACAUUUUACUCCAGUGAUAUCCACACACAUAGCUUUUAUGAAAAAUGCCCACUUAAAAACAAGAGAGCAGCA
rnacentral:tRNA from 1 species